AGAGUUCGAUCCUGGCUCAGGAUGAACGCUGGCGGCGUGCCUAAUACAUGCAAGUAGAACGCUGAAGCUUGGUGCUUGCACCGAGCGGAUGAGUUGCGAACGGGUGAGUAACGCGUAGGUAACCUGCCUGGUAGCGGGGGAUAACUAUUGGAAACGAUAGCUAAUACCGCAUGACAACAGUUAUUGCAUGAUAACUGUUUAAAAGGUGCAAUUGCAUCACUACCAGAUGGACCUGCGUUGUAUUAGCUAGUUGGUGAGGUAACGGCUCACCAAGGCGACGAUACAUAGCCGACCUGAGAGGGUGAUCGGCCACACUGGGACUGAGACACGGCCCAG
rnacentral:rRNA from 1 species